ensembl:antisense Gm44276 predicted gene, 44276
GGGGUGCGUGAGAAACAAGAGAACAAUUGAAUUCAUAGUUCUUUUGCACACACAUCUAAAAUAUUUCCUUUAGGGAUAAAACUUGAGCCCGGGUGGUAAAAUGCUUGCUUAGAAGCAAGCAGAAGACAUGUGGCAUUCUUGGGUUGAUCCCCAGAACCAAAAAGACCAAAUGAUGGAGGAACACGUGUAAUCCCAGCACUUGGAGGGCUGGCAAUUCAAUACAACCUUUGGCUCCAUCGUGAGUUGGAGGCUAGCCCGAGAGAAGUGAGACCCUGUCUACAGCAAACCCUGUGCAGCCUCAGAAUGUAGCAUUUUGAAUAAGAAUGACUGGCAUAGGCUCAUAUAGUUGAGUGUUUGGUACCCAGUUGGUGACCUGGUUAGCAAGGAUUAGGAGGUGUGGCCUUGUUGGAGGAGGUGUAUCCUUGGAGGUGGGCUUUGAGGUACAAGGACAACACCAGGCCCUGUGUGUCUCCUUCUGUGCCUCCACUUUUCAGAUCAGAUGUAAAGUCUCAGCUACUGCUACAGUGCCAUGACUGCUUGCCUACCUGCCUGCUGCUAUGCUUCCCGCCAUGAUGGUCAUGGACUCAGCCUCUAAAACGGGAUUAAAGCAUCCAUUUGUACAAACGACGUCCCUCCAAAGGUGAUCAGAAGAACAACUGUGACCCAUCCACACAUGGAGCACUAAUCCCCAGAGGGAAGGAAUUGAGGAGCAUGAACCCCAAGUCACAACCCAACACCGGGGCUAAAUCACAGGGAACCCCGCCAAGGGACGCAAGCCACACAAAGAGAAAAAGCAGAUCCAAGGGGGAAGCCGUGACUCUAAAGUUUACCAGGAGCAAGACCCAGAGUUCUUUGGUUUCUUGGACUUGCUUGUGAAGUCAACAUGGCUUUAUCUCCUCAAAGCUGAAAGGCAUGCUGCAAAAUUAACACAGAGAAGAGAAAACAAGCCCAGGAUGGACGGACGUGCCGGCCUCGAAGCCAUUGGUGACUGCCACAAAAGUGAUGCUUCAGGAAGAAACUAUGCAACCCACCAGUCGAACUCUUGCAUGCCCUGACGCCUCACCUCAAAUGUUAGGCAUCACAUGACAUCUACUACUGCGUGGAUCUGUGUGUGCCAAGUACCAUACACACCAUCACAUUUAUGGUUACCAACCACCUAUCUGGCUGGGGAGUGCCAUCCCCACUUUCAGAUGAGAAAAUGACUCAGGCUGAGUCCCUUGCCCAUGAACCUGCAGCAAUCAAUUAAAUGAAAGCUGGCCAAUCUGAAUCCGAGGAUCCCCAAAUCUGAUUCAGCUGUGACAUCAAGGACUUCUGAGAUGCUCAAGCCAGACUAUUUUAACUCUUUUAUUAAGGGAAACAACAUCAAAUAUCUGAUAUGGAGCUGGGUGUACUUCAGUGAAAGGAAGGAGACCCACGCAGAAACAUGGACGUCACCCUUCCGUACCAAAGGAAGCCUCCUGGUUGAUUUUUGCCAUUGCUCCGUGAACUUGAAACUACCCAUUUAAUUUGGUGGGUUGAUUUAACUCUGUAGCACAAUAUGACCAAAGAGAUGCCCUUCCUGGUUCAUGACCCUGCUGUCGGAGAGGCAGAAUCUCUACCUGGAAGCCUCUGAGUAAGAAAAGGAAGAGCUUGAGGAGUCUGGGGUGAGACAGAGCAGUUUGGAAACCGGAUCAGCUGGUGGAGUUAGGAUAAGACACAGCCGUGACGGAUCCCAGUCAUCCUUUGAUCAGACCACUGAGUGGAUAGAACUUCAUCCUGACAGAGAAGUAUUUUCUGUGGGAAAAAAAAAUACAAAACCAUUUCACCUCCAGUCUUUCGUGUGUCCACCUCUCCCCUAACCCCUUGAAUAGCUACCCGUCUGUGCCACAAGCAGACCGGCCUACAGGUUGGUUAGAAAUGUGCUCGGUUGUACAUUUGCACCUCAUUAUGACUCUUCCAUGCUCCCCAAAAAGGACAACUGAAGUCUUUGCUGUGCCUUAGGCACUCAGCAGACAGACAGGUAUUCUCUGUAGACAGACAGACACUCUCUGUAGACAGAAACUUUCUGUAGACAGACAGACAGACAGGCAGACAGGCAGACAGAUACUUUCUGUAGAUAGACACUCCAUGGACAGGCACUCUGUAGACAGACAGGCACUCUCUGCAUACAGACACUCGCUGUAGACAGACAGACAGGCAUGCUGUAGACAGUCUGGAGGAAAUCAAAGCAACAUCUAGAAGCCCUGAAGUCAUCAGUACAACUCUGACCCGGAAUUCAGGAGGAAGCCCAGGAACUUUCCCCAGGGCAUCAGGAACACCAGUGAGACAAAAGGAAAGGCCUUAUAUUCUGAGCCCUCAAAAGACCUUUUCAGAGAAAUACCUACUUGUUCUUUCCUCAUCGAUGACAAACAAAAGAGAUGAGGACACACCUUUUUCUGUUCUCUUCUUUUGCCCUCCCACCCUUAUUUAGGAUAAAUGUGGUAUGGAGAGGGAGGGCAACUUCUCUUAUUCCUCACUUGUAUGCAGCGCUUGUUCAGGAAAUAUGACCAAGCAUCUUGUCAUCUUUAUCAUGUCCUAUUAACUGUCUUACAGCUGACUCUACAGUGACCGUCAUGCUUAUGAAGAUAAGAUGGUAGCUGUGUGCAGUCUCUCAUCAUGGCCAAGUCACCUUCUUCCUGAUUCGCAGAGCUGGAAAUAAAAACAAGGAGAGGCCAUUGGUUAAAGAAGUCAUUGGCAGAGCAAGCUGAAUGCUCUGCUUCCUUCAGUGUUGGCCCGUGACCAAGCAACAGGUUCAGGUCAUGAGCCUGGGCUUCAGGCUGUAGACAGGCAAACUGUGAUGGGCACAGAGAACCAGGCUGAAAACAGAGGUAGGUUGAGGUAGUCAAGUCUAGCUACUGUUGGAUUAGUAGCAACUCGAAGAUGUUACCUUCCUUCAUCAUUAACAAUCACCCUUUGCAUGCUAGAUACAGCACUUGACAUCCGGAGAGGACACAAUCCACAGGGCAUUCUAACACAUUGAAUGCAGGAAAAAAAAAUGGAGGGCAGGAAUAAGUGUGAACUCUGCAUAAGCAUCAAGUCACUGAAGACCAAUGUAGGGAAUCAGCACCAAAAUGACACAGGAAAGAGGAUGAUGGGAAAUCUGCAGGACAGGCAGUGUCACGGGUUAUGAAGGACAAUGCAUUUCUUAAAAAAAUUUUGAAAGAAGCAAGUGGUAAGCAAGGCAGUGAGGGGUACCGUGCAUCAGUGAGGGGCACCGUGGCUCUCAACAGUAGAAAGGGGAGGUGGAUGCUUAUAUCCUGGUGGCAGUCAGGAAGCGGGGCACGGCCAGAACCCAGGCAAUUAGCUCUCUUACCUUCUGACAUGCCACUACCUUACCACUGGGCCUCAUGUUCAAAGGUUUCCACAAGCUCCAGGAAUAUGGGUUUAAAUGCAUUGGCCCAUAGAGGGCAUCUCACAUUCCUGCCACAGCAGUUAGAUGGAAAAGAUUGGUUUAGAGUCGAGGAAAGCCACAUAGAAAUACUAAUACAGCACAAUGGGGCAGCGGUCUUCUGGUGAGUGAAGAACUCCAUAAGGAAGGGACCUGAAGGCCGGGGAGAUAGUUUGGUUGACAAACUGCUUGCUUUGCAAGCACAGGAAUAUAUGCUGGAUCCCCAAACCCACGUAAACAGGUCAGGACAUGAUGCAUAUUUGUGACCAGUUCUGGGGAGGGAAAGGUAAGAGCCCCAAGGCUUACUGAGUAACUAUCUUAGCCUACUUAGUUCUGUGGCCACGACUUUGUGUAAAAACCAAAACAAACAAAGCAAAAAUAUCAACCAGUCAAGCAAACCACCCGGGUAAGUGGUACCUGAGAGACGACCCUGAGUUUGCCAUCUGGCUUCUACAUGUAUGUAUACAGAUGGACUGUGACCCGAGCCUUUGGGUCAUGCAGCACUGUCACAGGUGUGAAGAGAGUUGAAGGAUGCGUAGUGAGACAGUAAAGAGACACAGACAGAUGCAGAACCAGAUGUGAAAUGGCCUCUGAAGCCAGUUGUUCUCAGCGACUGCUUGUGGCAUGAAUUAGCACAGAGGCUAAGCAAAACCAAACCAACUCGGAGGGCAGGGGGAGGCAGCAAGACAAAACUGAUAACUGAGCAUUGAGAACCUUAAAAAAGCGAGCCACCGUGGAUGCUUUUGUGGUGCCCGGAACAACAGACUCCCACUCAGGAGGCAAGGAAACAUACUAAUUCCCUGAGCUCAGUCAAGAAAUAGCCAGCACUUGGGAGGCAGAGGCAGGUAGAUCUCUGAGUAUGAAGCCAGCCUGGGCUACAUAGUGAGUUCCAAACCUGACAAGCUAUAUUGUGAGACCCUGUAUGAAGAAAAAAAAAGAUAUAACACGGGUUUGGAGGAGUGAGAUUUAAUGAACUUCUGUUAUUUUUCUUGGGGGUGGGGUAUUUGAGUCAGAGUACUUAGUUCAAUACCCUUAUUUUUAUCAUUCAGAAAACCAAGGCCCAGAGAGGACAGCAAGGUUGUAUCCCACAGACAUCCACAUGGGCCAGUGAAGCUCUGGUAGGCCUAUACUAUAUUUAGAAAACAGCAAAUAUAGUUGAUGUCUUAGGCACAGAAAUUCCUUCAAUGUGACUGUAGGAUGAGGGGAAACAGAACCCUGAGGUUUGACUUUUGGCCUCUGCAUUCUGAUUUCAAAAUCCUGACCUUGCUAACCUCAGUCCCCACAGACUUCGCUGGACAAUGAACUAUAGAGCAAUAGGGCCAUCCAAAAGCUAAAAGAGUCCCAAGAAAGCCAUCUCAUUCCAGAAAGCUGGAAACCACUGUAGGCGAAGGAUAAGCAGGAACCUGCAACAACCCCCGGCUCCAAGAACUGGGAAGACUCCUGCUAGCUGGAGCCUCUGGCCCCUUUCCAGGGUGUCCCACUCUGGUCUUGGCUCUCUGACUUUUGCCCAGAUUCGCAUCCUCUUUGAACCCUGUGAUUAUCCGUAAUGCUUCAUCCAGCACCACGUGUCUGUGCCAGUUUGUCCCAAUAAAUUAAGAACAAAUUGAGACUCUAGCAUGGACCGUGAAUGCAUUCCAUUUAGCUUCAUUUGAAAUACAUCUUUGGAGUUGUGCUCCACAAAUCUGUCUGACACAAUAAAUAUGUAUGAAGCCCCAGAGGCCUCCUACACCCUGGGAGCAUCCAGCUCUGGGAUGGAUAACAGACAGGGAGAAUUUUAAGUACAUCCUGUUCCACCAAGGCUCAAUUCUCUCCCAUUUCCUUUUCCUUACUUCUUUGCUUGGCAUUCUCCUCCCAACCCAGCAGAAAGAUAAUUGCUUGGAGGGCUGAGUCGGGCAGAGUUGAUUUCUUCUUUUCCUUUCCUAGUAGUGUUGCAAAACCUUUAGACUGUAAAGGAAUGACAGACUCCCCCAAUGUACAAACACAGCUCUGCUUCGGCAAACAGGAAACCAUCCCAGGGCUGUGGGCUCCUGAGCCAGGAAAUGGGUCUCUGCCGCCCUGGCUACCUUCCCCACAGGUCCUUCCUGGACAUUCAAGACAGUUAAAAAUAGCAACCACCGCAGCCAGAAGGAAAGAUGAGAUGACUUAUUGUCUAGCCACAGAUUUGGGUGGUUGUAGAGGGAGCUAAAUCUCUGGUCUCAGUAUGGUAAGAAUUCUUUCAGGAUUAAGGCUGGUCCCUUUAGUAAAAUUUCAACCCCAAGUAUCUCCAAGAAACCAGCUUAUGCCAGGUAGGAGGUAAAUUAAGCAGGGCUGUCGAGCCAUCCAUGUACACACAUGGGCAUGCAUAUGUGAACACUAUAGCUAAGAUGAAACCCCAGACCUCCCAUGGGUGUGGCCUCCGGGCAGAGCAAGUGGAUCGUGGGACCCAAAGAAUAAAAAGAAAAAACAACUUU